UCCAUGAAGAAACCCUUCAGGAGACACAGCCGGACACUCCAGGGACCAGUGCCUGGGAGAGAGGGAUUUAAAAAUCUUUUUCCAAAACCCCCAAAAGAAAGAGGAUAACUGCAGGCAUUCUGACUCUCUCCUGUGCUCCUCCAAGCCAAGGGCAGCAGUCAGCUCUUAGAAGUAAAAGCUCCAACUAGGACAAACGCAAAGCACAGCCAGGACCUCUCUGCACAGCAAGAGAUGGCUGAAGGGCAAAGCCCCCAUCUUGUGAAGCGCUGGAGAGGGUCCAAGAGGCAGCGCGCAUUGAGCAUCCUCAACUGCUGUUGACUUUAAAGAGCCGAAGGCUGCCCAUCCCUUUUGAGGACUCACAGCAUGGUUCAAGUUUCAGUUGGAUGCCGAAGCAAACGUCAGCACAUACACAGCACAGGCCUGAAGCUAGGGCCCCAGUGCCUUUUGGAGCAGACACCACCGCCUCGUCUUCCAGAGUGGUUUGUUACUAUCCUUCACCACUGCCAUGAAACACUUCAGAUGAUCAAAGCCUAACAGACAACUGCCUAAACAUGGAGACAACAUCCUGAGGGAGGGCCAACUGCCACACUGCUGCAACUUGGAUAUGUUACAGUCUGUGCAUCAUCUUUCCCAGCUCCCAAAGAAAGAAGUCGCAAGAGCUAUGGCCUCCUCUUCCUUCAGAGAGUUAGAGGAAAAGAGUUUGGAAGACAGAUGUACAAUCAGAGCAGCAGCCCAAGAAGAAUGAAUUUUUCUAAUUCAUAACUGUGGUGAAGGAAACAGCCAAUGCUGGGAGAAGCAGCAGCAGAAGAGCUGAGGUGGAAGCAGCCAACUCCAGCCUCUUCAUACAUGAGCAAAUACUGUCUCCCAUCCUUCACUGCAGCAUAUUCUGCUUGUGCUUUGAGCCUGUUCUGAAUAACUCCUGGCUUCUCUUGCUCUGCACCAAGCAACGACAUUUCUUAAGACUCUGCUAGUUCCUAAUGAUGUGGAAUAUAUAACGUGUCACAGCUACAUGCAGUUAAGCAAUAUGCAAAAGAGAAAAUGCUAAGGUUUGAAAGAAAAUCCUGUCUUAGCAUACUAUUAGACUAAUCAUGUGAAAAUGUUUAUUUGCUAUGAAGUCACAGUUAUUAAACACAUUGGUCCAUGCUGCAGUGUUACAAUACUCUUCCAUGCUGCUACAAGAUUUAAGGUUAUGUUAAAAAGAUACAUUCAGCUAAUGAAAUUAAUGACCUUUAAUACUCCCUUGAAGUAUAGGUUUUCAGCACAAAUUUGCUUCAUUAUCACAGUCCUAUAAGCCUUGUGACACAUAAUGGUCACUGAUCCUAUCCAGAAUACAGUGAAACAUGGCAAAAGUUUAAUUGUACAUGCAUCCACAUUUUAAAGCAAAUAAGGCAGUCUCCGAGGCUAUUAAUAACAGAUGUCUUUCAUAAUUAAAGGGAUAAUGUCCAAAGAUUACCUGGAAAGUGUUUUAAUUAAAUUUAGUAAAUUAUUGAAGUCGUCAUUAUGUGGAAAUUCAGUGAAAAUUGGGUGCUCAAUUUUGCAAGGGUACAACAACAACAGCAAGUUUUCCCCAACGUUUGUGUUAUACACAUAGAGGUCCAAUAUGCAUGCUGAAGCACCUGACUUGGUACAAGUUAUGAGUUUUCUUCAUUUACUUAACAUGCACUGUGGUUUCAGGAAACGGACCUAGCAAGCCUGGUGCGCUGCAGUAUGCACUGUAUUUUUUCCUCCUGAAACACAAGGCUUCUUUAAAAUCUCAUCCAAAAAGCCUAACUUUGCAUUUGGAUAGGAGAGAAGAGAGCUGGUCUCUUGGAUGCAACUCCACACAGCUCCAUUCACAUAAAAAGUCAUCUCAAUGAGUUUAUAAAAAAUAUAUUCACAUAAAAUAGUGUCAGCACUGGAUAACAUUUUCUAUGGACACUAGUUUUGUGAAUGGGUAGAGAGAGGCACAGAAGCGUUCAAUGACUUCUCUUGAACGCGUUGGCAGCACAAGAGCAAAUGCAUUCCAGGAAUUCUCUCUAACAAUGUAUUGCAAUAGUAAAGGUUAGCAGGGUCUUUGGAUGGAAAUAAGUGGCUCUGGCAAGUAGUUAACAUAACUAAUUAUGAGAACACAUCUUGUCUAGACAGAAGAAGGAUUAAGACCAUCCAUUACUGAAUAAGAACAUACUCUUUUUGUCUACCUUGUCAGUUUUAAAUUAUUCAGAGCAGUAGUACAUGACGUCAGACUGCAUUUCUAUGUUUCUGCUCUCUGGGUUGCUAUCACAUCCAUUCAUAUCCACUCCAGGCCAUUCACAGACUGAAAAAGGUCAGUCAAAAAGCAAGUUUAAGAAAACAGUUACAUGGAUAUAGCUUCUAAAAGAACCAAGGUAAAAUCCUUGAGUGAACAGCAACAGCUUUUAUACCCCAUUGUUCACCAGAAGCCUAAAAUUAGAUACCUAGGCAGUCCCCCCUGCCUUAGGAGGCAGUAAAUGUCCAUGUUUUUGCGCUAUUAGCAUGGCCAAGUAAUAAGAAAGGCUUCAGAAAAGGAAUACUGUGCAUGCCUAGUUGCAGUACAGUGAGUCAUGGAACCCACAGAUGAAGAGAUUUACUGUGCUUGCUAGAGAACCCCCAAGGUAAAAAAGGUAAAUUUAAGAGGCAGCAAAGUUGCAUGAAGGACAGCUGGUGCCAGAGCUGGCUUAGGGGCAAGGGAGGGAAAAAUAACUCUACAAAAGAUGCAAUUGUAACAGGAAAAACUUAUGUAAUGGUUGAAAUGAAUACAUGAUUAACAGGAAGUUAUUUACUGAUUUCGUAUCUCAAGACUAGUUGAAAUUAGAAUACACAAAAAGCACAAGGAGGGAUAUGAGCUCUUUUUAAUAUGUCGUUCAGUACAUUACACAACAGAACAGGGUUUUUUUUUUUUUGAGAACAUUUUACCAAAGAACAGAACAGGUAGUGACAUAACUCACUACUUGGCUUCCUGGGCAAAACUGAAUUUACUGAUCUUUGAGAAAAGCGUGCAACAUUUGGGUUUAACCAUAAAAACUCUGGAAAGUCCAAAUUCUGAUGUGGCAUAAAAUCCAGGCCAGAGCCAGAACUUCUGGUUAAUGCCCAGCUGGAGGCAAAGCAGCCACUAGCUCUCUGAAGCAUUCCCAGGCUCCAGCCUGCCAUUGCCCCUACACGUGCUUAUUCUGCUACAGAAAAUAAAACCAAGCAAAGCUGCUAAGCUUUUGUUCUAGGACCUGAGUAUUUUAUAUCCAAAGUUGUGCUGUACAAGAAUCAGCAAGGAAUAAGCUUUAAAUGCUUCUAGAAUAGAACUAAGAGGGAAGAAACAGGUUUACAUGCAAAACUGGUAUUUUUAAUUCAGCUAUUGUCAGGGCCCUCAGUGCACCAACAGGCCUUAACAGCCCCAAGCAGCCUCACCUGGGGCCUCUCCCACACCCUUACUCAUAUCACUUCCCCCUUACAAAUUAAAAUCACUGCUCCUGCAAUCAUGGGCAAAGGUUAGACUGUCAAAGCUGGUUGGAUAAAUACAAUUUGUUUCAUGACACCAGAGUUUAUCACAUGACUUUCACCUCCAAAGCACAUACCUCCUACGGAGUCAAAAGCUGAAGCUGAGAUACACCACAGACAUGAACAUAUAUCUAAAUGCAGUGUCUGAAGUAUUAUUGAUUUUUAUAGCCAGUCAGAAUACUUUCAAUAAAAUUGCUGUUUUUACUGGGUUUUGACCAGCUCUUUUGACUCAAUUUAUAAGAAUGUCUUUGCAUUUCAAAAAAGGUUUAGUGGGGAGAAGAGGAAGAAUCCUUCAGAAAACAGCCUGUGUUAAAACCACUGCAAUCGUAAGCAAGCAGUGCAAAUAGAACUGACCAUGCUGAAACCACCUACCUCUUUAUAGUUUGUCUGCUCCAGUCUUAAAAAUACCGAAACUUUAAAACUGUCCUUCUCCACCAACCCAGCAGAUUAUUUUCCUUUUGUAACUAGACUUGCAUGGAAAAUUCUUACAAGCAUUUUUCACCUUUUUGCUACUCAGGCUUCUGCUCAUACAUUACUAACAGCAGCAACUUAAGAAUUUCAACCAGUUUGAACUAAUCUCCUGUGUCUAUGUGCACUAUAUUUGCUGCUUUUUCAAUAGCUGGAUACUAAUUAGCAGUUAUGACUUAAUAUUUACUUAAUACAGUCUAUUACAGCAAAAUGAGUUAGGAUCUUUAUUUAUCUGAACACAAAAAACAUGAUAUUGUACAUUCAAUCACUGAAUAUAUUUGCUGCAUUUGUAUUAUAUUGGUUGUCUUAGGAUCCUACUGUAUUUUCCUCAC